AACGCGAAGAACCUUACCAAGGCUUGACAUCCUAAGAAUCCUGUAGAGAUACGGGAGUGCCUUUCGGGGAACUUAGAGACAGGUGGUGCAUGGUUGUCGUCAGCUCGUGUCGUGAGAUGUUGGGUUAAGUCCCGCAACGAGCGCAACCUCUAUUGUUAGUUGCUACCAUUAAGUUGAGCACUCUAGCGAGACUGCCGAGGUUAACUCGGAGGAAGGUGGGGAUGACGUCAAAUCAUCAUGCCCUUUAUGCCUUGGGCAACACACGUGCUACAAUGGCCGGUACAAAGAGCUGCAAGCCCGCGAGGGGGAGCUAAUCUCAAAAACCGGUCCCAGUUCGGAUUGUAGGCUGUAACUCGCCUACAUGAAGCUGGAGUUGCUAGUAAUCGUGAAUCAGAAUGUCACGGUGAAUGCGUUCCCGGGUCUUGUACACACGC
rnacentral:rRNA from 1 species